CAGCAGCCGCGGUAAUACGUAGGGUGCAAGCGUUAAUCGGAAUUACUGGGCGCAAAGCGUGCGCAGGCGGUUCGUUAAGACAGAUGUGAAAUCCCCGGGCUUAACCUGGGAACUGCAUUUGUGACUGGCGGGCUAGAGUAUGGCAGAGGGGGGUAGAAUUCCACGUGUAGCAGUGAAAUGCGUAGAGAUGUGGAGGAAUACCGAUGGCGAAGGCAGCCCCCUGGGCCAAUACUGACGCCCAUGCACGAAAGCGUGGGGAGCAAACAGGAUUAGAUACCCGCGUAGUCCCUGUCUCUUAUAC
rnacentral:rRNA from 1 species